rnacentral:rRNA from 1 species
GAUGAACGCUGGCGGCGUGCUUAACACAUGCAAGUCGAACGGGAAACCUUUUCUUGAAGCUUCGGCCGAUUUAGCUGGUUUGUAGUGGCGGACGGGUGCGUCCUGCGUGGGUAACCUGACUUCUACAGGGGGAUGACAACCAGAAAUGGUUGCUAAUACCGCAUGAGCGCACAGUACCGACUGGUCCGGAGUGGAAAAGUCCGGUGGUAUAUGAUGGACCCACGUUGGAUUAGCUAGUUGACAGGGUAACGGCGUACCAAGGCGACGAUCCGUAGCCGGGCUGUGAGGGUGAGCGGCCACACUGGGACUGAGACACGGCCCAGACUCCUACGGGAGGCAGCAGUGGGGAAUAUUGCACAAUGGCGGAUACCAUGAUGCAGCGACGCCGCGUGAAGGAAGAAGUAUCUCGGUAUGGACAGUUAGAUCAGCAGGGAAGAUAGUGACGUUACCAGAAUAAGAAGCCCCGGCUAACUACGUG